rnacentral:lncRNA from 1 species
CUUAAAAAACACCUAUUGGUUUGUUUUCUUUCAGUUUCUCAUUUAUCAUCAUUUAAUCACCUUCACUGAAAGCUGAACAUGUGCAGCCUAACAACAACUUGAAUUAAUUGAAUAUGUUUCGUAUCUAUUCUCCAAAUUAAAUUUUCAGUUUUGCUCACCUUUUCAUGAUGAUAUUAAGAAAAAGUAGCCAUAAUUGCUUGUAUAGGAAAAAUUACUGAGAAAGACAUUCAGAUUAAAUGUAGGAAAUGCUCUAAGGAUCUUUGAAAGGAAAGAAAAGUCAGGUUCUAUAUUGUAUUCAAGGAAGAUAGGAGAUGAAAGUGUCAGAUAUGCAAGGCAGAUAAGAAAAUAGUUUUUAAAAAUAAGUCAUAGACAUUCUUUUUCUGAUAGUUAUUGAAAAAUCCAGUUCAUCAAAAGAUAUCUCAAAUCAAUAAAGAUUUCCUCAACCACCAGACAAAAUCGUUCUGUGUGUGUGUAUGUCUUAUUGGAACUGUAAUUAUAUUUACAAUACUAUAAUUAGUCGUGUUAUUAACUCUUGUUACUCACUAGAACAUUAUUGGUAAUAAGCAGUGACAUAUCUUAAAAAUUUUUCUUGUGUCCCAGCGUCUGCCCAGUGAUUAAUAUGUUAAGCUCCAUAAAUGUUUAUUCAACGAGUAAAUUAGUGACUAGGUACUAAGUUCUUAUUCUUGCGUACAGUCACCUAUAAAAUCUUUCCAUUCUUCUCGUGUUCAUAGCGAUUCAAAGGGUGGCAUUGGGUUGGACGUUUGGGUUACGAGCCAGCCUAUUCCCACAUUGUACGUGAAUGUUAAAACUUUACUGAAAUUUUUAAUCAACUCUAGGAGUCUUUGGUCAGAAUCAUUAGGGUUUUCUAGGUAUAGAAUCCUAUCAUCAGUGAAGAAAUAAAAUUUAAUUUCCUCUUUUCCUAUUUGGAUGCCUUUUGUUUCUUGCUUUUGUCUGAUCAUUCUGGCUAGGGCUUCCAGUAUUAAGUUGAAUAAGAGUGGUGAAAGUGGAUAUUCUUGUAUUGUUCUUGUUCUUAUGGGAAUUCUUCCAACUUUUGCCUGUUUAGUAUAAGGUAGACUAGGUUUGUCAAUAGAUGGUUCUUAUUAUUUUAGGUAUGUUCUUUGAAUGCCUAGUCUAUUGAGGGUUUUAAUUAUGAAGGCAUGUUGGAUUUUAUCAAAUGUUUUACCUCUGUUGAGAUAAUCUUAUGUUUUUUUUCAUUUUAAAUUCUGUUUAUAUGGUGAAUCACAUUAACUGAUUUGCAUAUAUUUGAACAACCCUUACAUCCCAGGAAUAAAGUUCACUUGAUAUUGUAUUAUCUUUUGGAUGUGCUACUGAAUGUGGUUUGCAAGUACUUUGUUGAGGAUUUUUUCAUCUAUGUUCAUCAGAUAUAUUGGCCUAGGGUUUUGUUUUUUGUGUGAGUACUGCCCAUAUUUUGGUAUCAGGAUGAUAUAGGUUUUGUAGAGUAAGUUAGAGGAGAAUCUCUCGUCCUCGAUUUUUUGGAAUAGUUUCAGUAGGAUUGGCAUGAGCUCCCCUUUGUACAUCUGGUAGAAUUCAGCUAUGAAUUCAUCUAGUCCCAGGCUU